rnacentral:rRNA from 1 species
GACGAACGCUGGCGGCGUGCCUAACACAUGCAAGUCGAACGGAAAGGCGCUGCUUUUGGGGGGUGCUCGGAUGGCGAACGGGUGAGUAACAAGUGAGUAACCUGCCCUUGACUUUGGGGUGACUACAGGUAACUGGGGAUAAUAACGGAUAGGAGCUCCUGCUGAAUGGUGGGGGUGGGAUAGUUCCGGCGGUUGGGGCGGGACCGGCGGCAUAUUAGGUAGUUGGGGGGGUAGUGGCUUACCAAGGCGUCGACCUGUAGAGGGUCUGAGAGGGUGAACAGCCACACUGGAACUGAGACACGGACCAGACUCCUACGGGAGGCAGCAGUGGGGAAUUUUGGACAAUGGGCGAAAGCAUGACCCAGCCAUGCCGCGUGCAGGAUGAAGGCCUUCGGGUUGUAAACUGCUUUUGUACGGAAUGAAAAGAUUUUUUCUAAUAAAGAGGGUCAAUGACGGUACCGUAAGAAUAAGCACCGGCUAACUACGUG